rnacentral:rRNA from 1 species
AGGAAUAUUGGUCAAUGGGCGAGAGCCUGAACCAGCCAAGUAGCGUGAAGGAUGACUGCCCUAUGGGUUGUAAACUUCUUUUAUAAAGGAAUAAAGUCGGGUAUGGAUACCCGUUUGCAUGUACUUUAUGAAUAAGGAUCGGCUAACUCCGUGCCAGCAGCCGCGGUAAUACGGAGGAUCCGAGCGUUAUCCGGAUUUAUUGGGUUUAAAGGGAGCGUAGAUGGAUAUUUAAGUCAGUUGUGAAAGUUUGCGGCUCAACCGUAAAAUUGCAGUUGAUACUGGAUAUCUUGAGUGCAGUUGAGGCAGGCGGAAUUCGUGGUGUAGCGGUGAAAUGCUUAGAUAUCACGAAGAACUCCGAUUGCGAAGGCAGCCUGCUAAGCUGCAACUGACAUUGAGGCUCGAAAGUGUGGGUAUCAAACAGGAUUAGAUACCCUGGUAGUCCACACGGUAAACGAUGAAUACUCGCUGUUUGCGAUAUACUGCAAGCGGCCAAGCGAAAGCGUUAAGUAUUCCACCUGGGGAGUACGCCGGCAACGGUGAAACUCAAAGGAAUUGACGGGGGCCCGCACAAGCGGAGGAACAUGUGGUUUAAUUCGAUGAUACGCGAGGAACCUUACCCGGGCUUAAAUUGCAGAUGAAUUACGGUGAAAGCCGUAAGCCGCAAGGCAUCUGUGAAGGUGCUGCAUGGUUGUCGUCAGCUCGUGCCGUGAGGUGUCGGCUUAAGUGCCAUAACGAGCGCAACCCUUGUUGUCAGUUACUAACAGGUUCCGCUGAGGACUCUGACAAGACUGCCAUCGUAAGAUGUGAGGAAGGUGGGGAUGACGUCAAAUCAGCACGGCCCUUACGUCCGGGGCUACACACGUGUUACAAUGGGGGGUACAGAGGGCCGCUACCACGCGAGUGGAUGCCAAUCCCAAAAACCUCUCUCAGUUCGGACUGGAGUCUGCAACCCGACUCCACGAAGCUGGAUUCGCUAGUAAUCGCGCAUCAGCCACGGCGCGGUGAAUACGUUCCCG